AUGGAGCGCAUGGUCACCUCGUACUUUAAGGAAGUAUACACCAAGGAUCCAACGCUUGUUCCGGAGGGGGUGCUCGAGGGAGCACCCAAAGUGACACAAGGCAUGAACGAUAUCAUGUGUGCGCCCUUCUCAGAGGAGGAGGUGUCUAAUGCCGUUUUUCAUAAAGGCCUGAUCAAAGCACCUCGCACGGAUGGGCUCCCAGCUAGGUUUUUCCAACGCAACCGGGCCACACUGAAGUCAGAGAUUAUCGUUGAUGUGUUAGAUUUCUUCAAGUCAGGAGUAAUGCCAGAGGGCGUUAAUGAUACGGCCAUUGUCCUUAUUCCAAAGGUCCCUCAUCCAAAGGAAUUAAAGGACUUCUGA
rnacentral:rRNA from 1 species